GGGCUGUAACCCAUCGUAACCCGUGUGUAGGUACGCUUUUGUGAGUGAGCACAUAGAAACUCUUGAAGAGAUUGAUAUGGCACAAAUCUUAUGAGCAAGAGAGUACAUACUGCAUACCAAACAACUCUUUGAAAUUUGAUUCUAAUCAAGUGGAUUUAGGGUUAUUUCUAUUUCAGAGGUUAGAAGCAUCGUUAGGCCUGUUAGGCUAGGUUAUAGAGGUAUAUAAGAGCAAGUCCACUUGUUUAACAUUUCAUGACCCAGGUCAUGGGCCACAUAGGCAUAAUGACCCGGCCUAAGUUUUUUUGCUUCCACCCAUGAAAAAUUUCUCACCCCAACUAUCAUUGGGUCAUCUCUUUGGGUCACCACCAUAACCCAAGUCAUGACUUUGAUGACCCAGGUUAACCCCAAGCCACAUCAGCCGAAGCCCAAAACGUGGCUGACGUCAGCGACAGGACCACUUGAACAAUGCUGGGCUGUCACUCUCCCAAAGGCGCGUGUCACUGCACGAACCAAUGAAUGAAGCUGAUGGGCGCGCGUCCCACACUCCCACACCUGCAAUUGACUUGGAUCAAUAAUUGUUUUUAGCAUUGGAGGUAUUUGACUACCGUAUUUCUUAGUUAACUAAAUGUAAAUAAAUAUAUAUUAAUGUGGGAACCCUUAUUUAUAUUUUUGUAACAUUAACAUAACCUAAAUUCAAUUAUGUUUAUGUUAAUAUUCUAAUUAUGUAAAAUCCUCAUUUACAAUUAAAAAGUAAUAUAAAAUUCUACUUCAUGGUGAUUGUAAUAAUAACCUUUACUUACGUUAUAUAUUCAUAUUAUGUUUAAUAUUUACUAAUUAUUUACAUCUAAAAUCAUGAUUUGUAAUUAAAAACCUAACAUGAAAUAUAAUAUUGUAAAUAUAUACCACGUGGCGACCUAGAAAUAUAAUCCACGGGUGGAAACUUCUACCUAAUUUCAAUGACCUAGAGUGACCCAGGUCACACCUAUGACCCAGGUCAUCCCCCAAUGAUGACCCAACGGGUGAACUUGCUCUAAGAUAUUGUUAUUGACAUCAGGGUUUCUCUGUAUGCUUUAGUGUCCGUACAAUUUUCUGACUGCUAGUCAUGAAAUUGGUUAAACUCCAGAUUACUAGUCCUCAUAAGCGGAUUAGGCAGAGUUGUCAAAAUUAGUAUGAAGUAGAUAGAAACUGAAGAGAUGGCCAAAUUAUCCAUGAAAUUUACUGAUGAAUGGUUAAGUAGACAUAUGGUUGGUCAUCAGUUAUCCAACUGCGGCGCUUCCCUGUAUCGUUAUAAUUUGAUGACUUCUAGCCUCCACUGCUUUCUUUCUGUAUCUGUUCAUAAAUGGAGGUUAUUGUUUGCUAUCUGAGCUUGGCAGUUUCAUAAGUUAAUAUUUUGGAGUUGAGAUGUGGUAUCUGGGAUUGGAUGUCUUUUGUUGUUAAUUGCACACAAGUUGCAUAUCAAUGCAAUUGCACAGGGGAAGGUUCUCCAAUAGACUACACAAGCCAACGUUAUGGUUGUGGCAUAUUAAACUGGUCCGAAGGAAGUUCCCUAUAGUCGUUAUAUCAGCUCAUUUGAUUUCACUGUUGCUUUUCUUUCAUUAUUCCAAGUCCUAGUAGAAGCAUUUGUAUGAUAUUAAGGCCUGGAAUAAGAGGUGCUAAAAGUGCUAGCUCCUUGGUGGCCUGAACACCGGCCAGAAAAGCAUGAAACCGAGCAGGCCAAUGCUGAUGUACACUAACUUGCUGUCGAGUUUCUAUAAAAGAUGAGACGACCAACUUUAGAUGUAUAGGCUCUUUAAUCAGACAAGUUAUGUUAAGAGUGUAAAGCUAUCUUUAUCAUCAUGAUUUCUGAUAACUAAACUACAACUAUGAAAAGAAUUCACCAACACAAUGCAUGAUCACUUCCGUUCACCUGUAUCUCAAUAAGGAAACCCAUCAUACAGAAGGUCUAAGAACACUAUAUUUACUUGAGCACCGCUGCUUUUGGCUACAGAGAAACUGAAAUCAUUGUACGCCUUAUCACUUUCUUUAUAUAAAGGAAACUUGAGUUUAUCAUAUGAAAUCCCAUACUAAAAAGUAAGAGUGUGAAUUAGAUCAAUGACAAAUUCCAGAUAAUAAAAUAUUGUAAGGUGGAUGACCAGAGGUCAAUCUCAAUUAUUCACUCUCUUGCUUCCGUUUUAAAAAAGCAAAAGUUAAACGCAUUUUCAGCACCAGUAACUCUCAGAAGGGAGCACCAAACACUCACUGUAAAGCUUAACCAAAACUACAACUGACUCUUCAAACCAUAGUUUACAGAACAAAAUACUGACAACCAUCACUAAGAAUUAAAUCGACAAAGAACACAACCUUGGUCCUAUCCUUCACUUCUGCUAUAUUUAAACUUCAAUUAGCCAAAUCUAACCCAUAAACCAUAGUCAAGUGUCUGAAUUAUAAAUGUUAUUAGCUAACAAGAUCAGUGCUUCCCCAUAAACCAAUAAAAACCAAACAAUGCCAAAGACGAAUUACUAGGUAGCAACAGAAAUUCUUAAAGGUGUUGAAAUUAGAAUCAUACUUAAAAUUACAUAUCAGAUCAUUACAUUUUCAAAUUCGAGCAUCCCUAAAUCAAACAACUUUAUUUGAUCACAG
rnacentral:lncRNA from 1 species